GACGAACGCUGGCGGCGCGCUUAACACAUGCAAGUCGAACGGAAAGGCCUGCUUUCCCUUGUGGAUUGCGGGUACUCGAGUGGCGAACGGGUGAGUAACACGUGAGUGAUCUGCCCCCAACUUGGGUAUAAGCCUGGGAAACUGGGUCUAAUUCCCGAUAGGACUGCAGGGUGGUGCCUGUGGUGGAAAACGAUUUUCUAGUGGUUGGGGAUGAGCUCGCGGCCUAUCAGCUUGUUGGUGGGGUAAUGGCCUACCAAGGCGGCGACGGGUAGCCGGCCUGAGAGGGUGGACGGCCACAUUGGGACUGAGAUACGGCCCAGACUCCUACGGGAGGCAGCAGUGGGGAAUAUUGCACAAUGGGCGGAAGCCUGAUGCAGCGACGCCGCGUGGGGGAUGACGGCCUUCGGGUUGUAAACUCCUUUCGACCGCGAGGAAGCCACCUGGUUGGAAGGGUGGUGACGGUAGUGGUAGAAGAAGCACCAGCUAACUACGUG
rnacentral:rRNA from 1 species